UACCAGCACCCCGAGUGGUCGGGACGAUUAUUGGGCCUAAAGCAUCCGUAGCCGGUCCUACAAGUCUUCCGUUAAAUCCAGCCGCUCAACGGUUGGGCUGCGGAGGAUACUACGUGGCUAGGAGGCGGGAGAGGCAAGCGGUACUCAGUGGGUAGGGGUAAAAUCCUUUGAUCCAUUGAAGACCACCAGUGGCGAAGGCGGCUUGCCAGAACGCGCUCGACGGUGAGGGAUGAAAGCUGGGGGAGCAAACCGG
rnacentral:rRNA from 1 species